UUUAGAGGAAGUAAAAGUCGUAACAAGGUUUCCGUAGGUGAACCUGCGGAAGGAUCAUUAUUGAAAUAAACUUGGUGUGGGUUGUAGCUGGCCUUUUGGCAAGUGCUCGCCUUCAUCAUCUUUAUAUUUCCACCUGUGCACCUUCUGUAGACCAGAAAGAAAAAAGGGAUUAUUUUGUUGUGCCAUUUGGCCCAUGUCAUCUCCUUGAAGUAUUUCUUGUCUAUGCUUUUUAUAUACCCCAAAAAAUGUAACAGAAUGUUAAUCUAUGGGCCUUUUGUGCCUAUAAACAAAAAUUAUACAACUUUCAGCAACGGAUCUCUUGGCUCUCGCAUCGAUGAAGAACGCAGCGAAAUGCGAUAAGUAAUGUGAAUUGCAGAAUUCAGUGAAUCAUCGAAUCUUUGAACGCACCUUGCGCUCCUUGGUAUUCCGAGGAGCAUGCCUGUUUGAGCGUCAUUAAAUUAUCAAAAAAAACCAUUGGUAGUAAUAUCAACGGCUUUCUUGGAUGUGAGGGUUUAUUGUUGGCGAAAGUCGACUCCCUUGAAAUGAAUUAGCUUGGUUGAUUGGACUUGUCUAUUGGUGUGAUAAUUAUCUACGCCAUUGGAUUGUCUACUUAUCAAACUGCUUCUAAUUGUCCCUUUGGGACUAAUAAAAUGACCAUUUGACCUCAAAUCAGGUAGGACUACCCGCUGAACUUAAGCAUAUCAAUAAGCGGAGGAA
rnacentral:rRNA from 1 species